AAAAAGGACUUUCCCAUUUCAGCCUGCUCACCUUAGGUACAUUCAUGUCACAUGCUUAGAACCACUUUACUGCACUGGUGUUAUUCUGCAUAUGUAGUAGUGUUCUAUGGUAGAAAGACUGCUGUAGGAAAACCCCACAUAUUUCAUAAGUCUUGAAGGAAUGACCUGUUUUAUUACAGAUUGAUAGAGAAAACUUGAAAUUACCCAUAUAAUGUGAAAGGAGAACCAUAUGUGUGUGUUACAUCUUUAACAGGAUUUUUCUGGGGAUAUCAUGUUGAAUAACGUCCCAAGUACUGUUAAACAUUGUGUCAGAGUCACAACAUACCGGUAUUUAAAAUAAUACUUUUAUUCUUCAAGUUACCCUAGAAACUUCACAUGCAAGGUUUAGUUGUGCUCUUCAGUAACUUCCAAGUUGCAAGUCUAUCUGUGUUAUAUGUAGAUGAUGAAAGUAUUUUGACUAAAUCUACAUUACUUCCCUUUAUUUGACAAAACAAACAUGAGAAAACUGUGUGACCCCCCCCGAUAGUAGUCCACAGUUGGUGAUUUUCACUAAACCCAAUUGAUGGGCUUGUCAUGUUUUGCAGAUUUCACAUUACUUCUUCAUGCAAGGGCCUGAUCCUGUAGAUGGCUUUGGCUACUGUGUUGAGAGUAACACAAAUUUAGCUCCAGCUCUAUCCCCAGCAUUCAUUGAUGGCCAGGAGGAUUGGUCCUCCACUAACUAUUCUACAUGGACUGAAAGUCAGUGGUCCCAGACAGGGUUCUCUGCAAGGGUCUAUCUUAAGCCAAGUCCAGAACAAGAGAGUGUGAUAUUUUGCCUUGGUAUGGUAGUGGUGUUAAUGUCCUUGCUGAUCAGCUAUUUCAUCAAUGCAAGGGCAAACGUCCUCUUCUCAUCAAUAUGAGCAGCAAGGUGGAGGAUCAAUCAUUCUACAGCACAUCUUUCUGUUUAAGUUUAUGCAGAGUUCUGAAUAGUUUUUCUUUUGUAAUUACAUGUAUGUAAAAGCUUAUCUAGUCUUUGCCCUUCCCAAAGCUACAUUUGUACAUGUACAGAAAUAAUUUUACAAAAUCAAAAGGGUUUCAAGUAAUACAAUAUUUCACACCUCCAUUUAACAUAUAUGCAUUGAUCGAGGAAAGUAAACUUUUUAACUGUUUGAUAUUGUUUUAUUUGUUUUAUACAGAACAUGAAGUACCAAUACUCUCAGUAUGCUUUACACCAUACUUUCCCUGCUCAUCAGGGCCAUAAUACAGCUUGAUGCUGUCAAAUCAAGCAGAAAUAAGGUCCGUCAUUUUCACCUUAAAGUUGUAUUAAAGUUGUGGCUGCAAAAACUAUGGCUGGCCGUCAGUACAAAAAGCAACUGAGAAGUCCACAAAACGUCAAAGUAUAUCAAAAGUGCCGUUCACACGAAUUUGAGGUAAUCGGAAACCAACCAAAAAGUCAUUUUUCUGCGAACUAUGGCUGCCCACACAAAGUGUAGGCAAAGUGAAAGCUGAUCAACAGAAUAACCCUCUAUCCCUCACAUUUCUGCUUUUGUCAGAAAGAAGAAUGCCAGAUGGGGGCAGAGAAGACUUGCUCAUGAUCACAGUGCAGGCCCAUUCCGGAUUCGGAUGCCUGACCUUAUAAGAUCAAGAAGUAUAGACCUAACCACUAGGCCACAAAUUCCAACUGUUAAAGAAUGGUAUGUGUUGGAUCUGGCUGGAUGCUUCAGAUAGCAUUGUGAAUAAUUUUUCUCAUGUAUACUUUGUUUCCACAAUUGCUGCAUCUGAUGUAGGAUAGUGUUAGGUCAUACAUGAUUGAAGGGGGGGUGACAGAUUCUAAGCAACAGCCUCUAGCAGUAGACUGAAUAAAAAUCAAUCAUGUUAACAAUAAAUUAAGAGUGCAAGCCCUAACUAGAGGGGCUGGCAUUUCCACUGAAAUGACAGGCUAUGCCUGAGUUUUGCGGCUUUUUAUCUUCUGGUUGUUAGCCCUGAACAUGUCUUACAUAGGAGGUGUAAACCUCAGAUUGCCUGGCCCUUUUAAGUCCUGCCUAUCUCAGGCAGGCUAUUUUCAGUUCCAUUCAAUAUGCAGGCAAAUUGCACAAAUAAAGAAAUCAACUUUUCCUCCUGUCAAUUGGGAAGAUCUUUAGCUUAACCUAAACUGACCAAAGCUGUCAAUCAAGUCAGUGGAAAAAUUUUCCUGAACAGAGCAGAAGCUAGUCUUGAUUUUAAACAUUUUGAAUUCCUCUGCUGAGCCAAAAUGCAUUAAUUUAAAUUUCCUACUGUGAUGGUUGUUCAUCUAGCACCCUCUAACAGUGAUGGCUUAUAAUCAAAGAAUAAACCAUAGGCCGGUCUUUGAACCAUGACCAAGCAGAGGCUGGUAAUGGAGAGCUUGCCAUUUGAAAAAAUGGAUUGAAAGCCGAAAGGUUUCUGUUUUGCGUGAGUGUGGCCUGGCCUGGUCUCUGGUUCUAACUUGCUCUCCAAACAUUUAAAAAUUCUACCACUUGUAAAAUCUUGACAGUUUGAUUUAUAUUUUUGUUGCUACAUGUGCACCAUUGUGGAGUUCACUGUACAUACCGUACAUGCAUGAUUGCCCCUACUCACAGAAAUCAUGUUAGUACAUUAUGCAUAUGCCAUUGUCCUAAACUGUUUUACUGUCCCUCACCACUGUCUUGUUGCACUCCAUAUUGUCACUUGGUACGUGCCACGUGCGCCUAAUCUAUAUAAGGCAAUUGUUCAUGACUACUCAUUACUGGAACUUCCAGAAAAUGACCAGAUGGGAGUGUGAAAAAAUAGCAAAAUUGCUGCAAAUGUGUAAUUUUAAAACAUGUUUUUAUUUUGACUGAAUAGGAGUAAAUAUUUGCUAGGCCGGUCUUAACAUUAUGGCUCCGGAGAAUGCCCUCACUUCUGGCUUGAGCUAUUAAUCAGCAUCCAAUCUCUUGGAGUGGUGGGUGACACUCUGAACUUUGUUUUCACUUAAAUAGCUUGUUUGGACAAAAGUAGUGGCAACUUUUUCUUCAAACAUCGUUGGUCAGUGGUUUUGAAGGACUAAUUUUUGUAUUGUUAUGCUUUUCCGACAAGGAGUGCCUCGUAUUAAACUACCAAAGUGGCACCUUCAUGCAUCAUUGAUGAAAGUAUGUCCUAACUCAAAAAACUACCACCUUGCCAAUGUCAGUGAAAACAGGUAUUUAGAUCUUGUUUGUAGUGUAUGGUAAUAGUGUAUGGUUUGUUGUACAUGGUGAUAUGGAUUAAUAAACUACUUAUUUUGUAUCUACCGGUACAUGUACUACAUGUUUUGUUCAACAUGCACCUAUAAUCCUGCAGGUGGAUGUGAGUUAUGAAAAGUUGCACCCCCCCAAAGUUUAGAAACCAAUCGGUUGCAUCAGGGACCCUCACGUUUGGGGAUUUAUAGUUGUGAAAGUAGAGGCAACAGAUGCAGUAUGUAGAAGUGGAUUUCAUCAGCAACAUAACCCAAGGGGGUAAUGCAGAGAAGUGGCAGGUUAUGUUUGGGUCAAGAUGUACAUGCUAAUUGAUGAUGUUAACUCUAACCCCCUGUUUGGAUGCUGUGUAAACUAAACAUUACAUUCCUAAAGUUGGAGGAGGGGGUAGUCAAGUACAUUGUGAGCACUUUUGUCUGAUUUGAAGAAGACAAGAAAUGUUGGCAUGCUAUAAGAAAUGUAUCUCAGUAUUAGAGAAUGGGAGGCAAACCAAAGUUCAAAUACACCCUUUAAAAGUAGCUUUGGAUACAAAGAAUACAUGAAAACAAUAAUCGUGAACUUUCCAGUAUCCAUGUUAGUGUAACUUUGAUAUUAACCAAACCAUCCUCAUAUCUGACAUAUCAGUGAACUUGAUACUCAGAAAAUACCCCCCCCCCAUAUUUUUGAUUUGAGGAAGCCAUGAUGGCUGUUGUAUAUUUAAAUCCCAGUUGACUGCCAGCUGUGUAAAGCCUAAAUUAAAAAAUUCAACUGUAUCCCAAGUAGAUGUGCAUGAAUUUGUGGCCUUUUUUUUAAGAGGUAAAUGAUAUUCAACAGAGUCCAAAGUAAUUCAGUGUACAUUUUAUAGAACUCAGAAAACCAUUAAUAUUGACCGGAUGAAGUACAUGUACUUGUUUACAUUCUUGUACUGUAGCCUUGAACACAACCUUGGCAAAUUCAUGUUGUAUGUUUUAUUUGUUUGGUCCCAUCUGAACGCAUCACUACCUAAUAAAUUAUAUGGAGUAAUAAAAUGAUGUUUACUGCUGAUGGCAUUGGUAGUUGGGUUGGUUUAAACAUUACAAUACAUGAUACUGUACUUGUUGCGGCCUGUGGUUGCACAUAGAAUUAUCUCAUGAAAAAUCCCGAUAAAAGUGCUUUUAUUGAAUCUAAAA
rnacentral:lncRNA from 1 species